rnacentral:rRNA from 1 species
GAGUUUGAUCCUGGCUCAGGACGAACGCUGGCGGCGUGCCUAAUACAUGCAAGUCGAACGCACUCUCGUUAGAUUGAAGAAGCUUGCUUCUGAUUGAUAACAUUUGAGUGAGUGGCGGACGGGUGAGUAACACGUGGGUAACCUGCCCUAAAGUGGGGGAUAACAUUUGGAAACAGAUGCUAAUACCGCAUAAAACCUAGCACCGCAUGGUGCAAGGUUGAAAGAUGGUUUCGGCUAUCACUUUAGGAUGGACCCGCGGUGCAUUAGUUAGUUGGUGAGGUAAAGGCUCACCAAGACCGUGAUGCAUAGCCGACCUGAGAGGGUAAUCGGCCACACUGGGACUGAGACACGGCCCAGACUCCUACGGGAGGCAGCAGUAGGGAAUCUUCCACAAUGGACGAAAGUCUGAUGGAGCAACGCCGCGUGAGUGAAGAAGGUUUUCGGAUCGUAAAACUCUGUUGUUGGAGAAGAACGUAUUUGAUAGUAACUGAUCAGGUAGUGACGGUAUCCAACCAGAAAGCCACGGCUAACUACGUGCCAGCAGCCGCGGUAAUACGUAGGUGGCAAGCGUUGUCCGGAUUUAUUGGGCGUAAAGCGAGCGCAGGCGGUUUCUUAAGUCUGAUGUGAAAGCCUUCGGCUCAACCGAAGAAGUGCAUCGGAAACUGGGAAACUUGAGUGCAGAAGAGGACAGUGGAACUCCAUGUGUAGCGGUGAAAUGCGUAGAUAUAUGGAAGAACACCAGUGGCGAAGGCGGCUGUCUGGUCUGUAACUGACGCUGAGGCUCGAAAGCAUGGGUAGCAAACAGGAUUAGAUACCCUGGUAGUCCACGCCGUAAACGAUGAGUGCUAGGUGUUGGAGGGUUUCCGCCCUUCAGUGCCGCAGCUAACGCAUUAAGCACUCCGCCUGGGGAGUACGACCGCAAGGUUGAAACUCAAAGGAAUUGAC